rnacentral:rRNA from 1 species
GCGUACACGGUGGAUGCCUUGGCAGUCAGAGGCGAUGAAAGACGUAGUAACUUGCGAUAAGCCCAGAUUAGGUAGUAACAACCAUUUGAGUCUGGGAUUUCUGAAUGGGGAAACCCACGUGCAUAAGCACGUAUCCUUACCUGAAUACAUAGGGUAAGGAGGCGAACCGGGGGAACUGAAACAUCUAAGUACCCCGAGGAAAAGAAAUCAACCGAGA